GGAGAGAUGGCAGAGAGG
rnacentral:tRNA from 1 species